UGCAUUCACUACUGUAGCAGUCGCUCUGGAUAAGAGCGUCUGCUAAAUGACAAAAC
rfam:Salmo salar isolate Sally breed double haploid chromosome ssa10, whole genome shotgun sequence.